AUCUAGCUGACGAGUUCCAAAUAGGACAAAACGUGCAUUCUGGAU
rfam:Schistosoma curassoni strain Dakar, Senegal genome assembly, scaffold: SCTD_contig0000215